GUUCACUCCUGGGAUAAACCCCCAUAGCUUUGCAUUCGUAGCUGUGAUUUUCUCCCAUUAGCAUCUGCUUUUGCUUUGCCUUCCAUGCUGGGUUAAACUGUGUUCUAUAAGCUUAACAUGAAACCAAAGGUCAGCCUAUGACCUCAUUAGAAAUAGCAUCUUUUUAAAAAAAAAUAGAAAAUAUCGUACUUAUUGUGUAUGGGUAUUUUGCCUGGAUGGACAGAUGUGCACCAUGCCUGGUAUUCUCGGAGGCCAGCAGAGGACAUCAGAUGCACUAGCACUGUAGUUACAGAUGGUUGUGAGCCACCAUGCGGAUGCUGGGAAUUCAAUCUGGAUGAUCAGGGUGUAGCCAGUGCCUAACCACGGAGCCGUCCCUCCAGUCCCCAGAAGUAGCAUCUUUGUAGAUGUAAUCAUGUAGCCAAACACGGUCACCUGGGACUAUGUGGGUUCUAACUUCAUUGAGUACAGACCUUAUAAGAAGAGAGGAGUCAGGAACAGUAGCUUACACUUUUAAACCAAGCACUUGGGGUACAGACACGGGUGGAUCUCUGUGAAUUCAAGGCCAGCUUGGUCUACAUAGCAAGCUCUGGCCAGCCAAAGCUAGUGAGAUCCUGUGUAAUAACAAGGAGGGAGGGAGCAAGGGAGAAAGGGAAGGAGAGAGGAGGGAGGGGCAUAGAGACUCCAAGGCUAAGGCUGGAGGGACGCAGCUACCGGCUGAGGGAGGCCAGGAACUGUCUAGCCUACCCUCUUCCCAGACAAAUACACAUGGUUGAGCAUAAGGAAUAGAUCAGGGCUCUUUACAAAUCAAGGUGUUUGAGCUCAAGAGCUGCUGUUUAUUGUAAACCCCAUGGAAUAAUGUGACUUACUAUUAAUCUUAUAAGCUCAUUCUCUAUGCAGUCACCAAAUUCCCAGUUGCUUUGGUAAAAACAGUAUUUCCUUUCCAGUGACUGCUUUUUUUUUAUUUGUUUGUUUGUUUUGUGUUGUGUUGUUGUUUUUUCAAGACAGGUUUCAGGCUGGCCUUGAACUUACAGGGAUUCACCUGCCUCUGCCUCCCAGAUGCUGAGA
rnacentral:lncRNA from 1 species